rnacentral:rRNA from 1 species
UACAGAGGGUGCAAGCGUUGUCCGGAAUCACUGGGCGUAAAGGGCGCGUAGGCGGCCUGAUAAGUAGGGGGUGAAAUCCUGGGGCUUAACCUCAGGGCUGCCUUCUAGACUGUCCGGCUCGAGCACAGUAGAGGCAGGUGGAAUUCCGGGUGUAGCGGUGGAAUGCGUAGAGAUCCGGAAGAACACCGGUGGCGAAGGCGGCCCGCUGGGCAGGAGAGGGAGCAAUCCCGUCGGACUGG